rfam:Hordeum vulgare subsp. vulgare, WGS project CAJW01000000 data, contig: morex_contig_136919
UCUACCUAUGAUGAGUUGCAAACAGUAUUGCCUACAUUGUUUGAUCACUCUUAUGAGAACUUCUGCAACCUCUGAGGAUGGA